rnacentral:rRNA from 1 species
AGCGGUGGAGCAUGUGGUUUAAUUCGAUGCAACGCGAAGAACCUUACCAGGUCUUGACAUCCAACGAAUCUCUCUGAAAGGAGAGAGUGCCUUCGGGAGCGUUGAGACAGGUGGUGCAUGGUUGUCGUCAGCUCGUGUCGUGAGAUGUUGGGUUAAGUCCCGCAACGAGCGCAACCCUUGCCAUUAGUUGCUAACAGGAGAGCUGAGCACUCUAAUGGGACUGCCGGUGACAAGCCGGAGGAAGGUGGGGAUGACGUCAAAUCAUCAUGCCCUUUAUGACCUGGGCUACACACGUGCUGCAAUGGAUGGUACAGAGAGCAGCGAGACCGCGAGGUGGAGCGAAUCUCAAAAAGCCAUUCUCAGUUCGGAUUGUAGUCUGCAACUCGACUACAUGAAGUCGGAAUCGCUAGUAAUCGCGAAUCAGCAUGUCGCGGUGAAUGCGUUCCCGGGCCUUGUACACACCGCCCGUCACACCACGAAAGUCGGCAACACCCGAAGCCAGUGAGCCAACUAGCAAUAGAGGCAGCUGUCGAAGGUGGG